GCAGUUUGUGGGUAUCUGAGCCGGAAACCCUCACGAGACAAAACUCGUCCACUAGGGCCACCUAGGGGUUUAAAGUCUUAUUGCAUACGGUAAAUGCAAUUGCGAUUCCUGCGAAAGUGAGUUAGUUUUUAUUUUGCUUGAGGACUAGCAAAAUGUAGGUUGGAGGGUGUGAUAAGUGCUAAAUAAUGCAUAAAUUAAUAUCUUAUUCAUAGCACUUAUCAUUAUUUUAAUAUAUAUAUUUUGUAAAAUUAACCAUAAAAGAUGUGUUACCCUCAUCAUUGCAUUUUAAUAAAUUAAUUUAAGUUUGAUUUAAUUAUUUAUUAAUUGAGCCUAAUGUAUGCAGGUCGAGUCAAGUUCAAUAAGAUAAAGUCGAAACCUACACUACAUCAUUUUAUAUCCUCCGGAGUCGACUCCAAGAACUUUCCUCCAAAAUCCAGUGCUUCCCAUUAAUUUCCAUCUGCACCUAAUUCUCUUUCCACACUUUUCAAUUAUUUGUUUCUCAGAUCUCAAAGCAUACCAUCUAGUUGCACGGAUCUCAAAGCCUUUAUCUUCUUCAAAUCUCAGCCGGAUAAGCAUCCUAGUUUCCUCCCUGCCUCAAGACAGAACUCCUCUUCCGAUGAGAUCAACACCCAGCCGACCACACCCAUUCAUAUCUCAGCCAUGUUCUUCCACGUCAUCCCUUUUCUCCCCUGCAUCCCGACUCAUCUCCCCAACCUCCUCCGCUAGAUCUCAGCCAAGAUAAAGCUAAAUCCCGAGCCUCCCUGUCGUCUGCCAUGAUCCUUUUCUUCGCAUUUGAUCCCAGCGGCAUCAUCCAUUCCUCCC
rnacentral:lncRNA from 1 species